CAAUUCCAUUGUUCCCUUACGCAUCUCUUCUUUUCCUCCAUCUUUCUUAACCUAAUUAAUAUCGAUACCGUUUCACAAUCAUCUCUUCAACUUCAUAUGGAAACCACAAUCAAUCAUCAAUCAGUUGAUUCUACAAAACGCGAAUUGGCUUCACCGUUUCCUUUCUUGAUUAUAAAACCCUAGAUGUAAAUCCAGAAUCUUCAUUCACGGAUAUAACAAGGAGGCUAUACUCUCCGACGUUCAUAUUGUGGAAGAUCUUCUUCAAUCGAACACGUGCUUAAGGUUUACAAGGUGUGAAUGCAUAGUGGGGAUCUUAGGUUUUGUGUUAUUGCAAGAAGAUUUUCGUCUUUGGCGAACACGCUGUAGCCGCAUCUUCUCAAUGACAGAGACAACCGUUGAGGAUUCACAUGUAAUGCGAUCCAGUCAUUAGGGGUAUGACACACAUUGCCAGGUGGAGCCUGAAUCAUGUAAGCUGGUUGUUGAUCUGGUAAAAUUUGAGGAGCUGUCAUUUUUGGGACAUAAGCAGUGAGAUUAUUAUUAGUUGGUUUCAUUUUCUGGCUCCGGUUCCAAGAUCUGAACCAUUUCUUUCCCAAACCCGACAAUGGAUAUGAAACAAGAUAGCGAGUACCGCAAUUAGAGACAUCAUCUGGCCAACUGCCCUGCUUACUGUUUUACGAGCAAAGGAAUACAAUGCAAAAGCCUGAAUGGACGCACAUCUUGCUUAUCUUGGCUGCACGCUUAAGUAGAGGAUAUUAUGCAGUGGUGGGUUAGGGUUAACCUGUUAAUGUGAGUAACUUCUUCUGUUGGCAACAAGGUGAAUUGGAUUAUACAUCUAGAUGAUUUUGAAGCUAAUGUUUGUUUUGAUCUGAAAGAUGUUCCAGUGGUUAGUUUGGCUCAUUCUUUGUAUGCUCACAAAAGAUUACUUUCUAUCACACUACAUAUGUCAUCAAAAUGCACCACUUGGUACAGGUCUACGGUUCAAAAUGGUUUUGAGUUUACCCCAAUUAAAUUAAUUGUAAAAAAACCAUUACUCAGGGUGCAAGAAUAGAUGCAGGGGCGGUUCUUAGAAGAGCCGUGGCAGGGCCACGGCUCGGGCAAGUUUUUCGGGCGUAGUGCUAAUUUUCCGCAUUUCGAUCGAAAUUUUUUAUAUAUACUAUGUUUGGCCCGGGCUUGUCCGGGCUUUUUUUAGUGUCCGUGUCUUUCGGCCCUGGCAUGUUCAACGGGCAAGAUCCGCCACUGUUUAGAUGUGAUUGGAUACGUUGUGCAUUGUUUCAACAUUGAGAUGACCAGUCAUGAGAUUUGGGAAAGAAGCCCAAAGAUGAACCUAAAACUAAAAGAUAUUGAUGAUGUGGAGGUCGCUGUGACGUUGUGGGAUCAAUAUGCUAAAGCGAUUGAUGCAUACUAUAAAGCUAAUAUAGGGGAAGUUCAUGUGGUGUUACAUAUUCAGUUUGGCACGUUCAAGAUCUACAAAGUGUCGGUAUCAAUUUCAGCAACUUCUAAACAAAAACAAAGAUUAUGUUGUUCCGGACAUCAAGAUAUGUUCACCUUAUUCCCGAUGUUUGAAGAUAAUUCGAGGUGAUGCAAAAUUAUAUGCUUCUUUAAUUUUAAGGUUAGGUUUAAGGAUAGAGAGACUCAGAGACCUGCAAAGGUCACAACGCCAUGUGCCAUUUCAUCUGUUCAAUUCAAAUAAACAAACAACUGAUCAUUUUUAUGCUUUCUUUUUUAGGGAAGACUAUGUCCAUAUUACAUGAAUAGUUGACUUUUUGGUUUUCCCUCAAGUACUUGAAGACAUACAAUUCUUAGGUAAACCAUGAAAUGCAGUCUGAAACAAAACACAUCCCAAGAUUGUCCCAACUCCCAAGUCAAACCCAUUCAUAAGUUAAGAACUGAAGUCGCUGCCAAAGGUAGCAUUUGAGGAGUUCCAACCGAUGGACCGAUUUAACAAGUAUGGUUAGUUGCUCAACCUAUUGUGUUAUUUUCUAGAAAGUGUAAAAAACUAUCAUUUCUGUUUUGCAAACAAUGUACUCUAUGAACUUGCUUUUCACUCCAAUCUCCAUUGUGCAUAAGCAUGGAAUAAACUUCCCUUUCUAGAUCU